ACUAUACCUAUCAGAGGGGGAUAACCCGGCGAAAGUCGGACUAAUACCGCAUGAAGCAGGGAUCCCGCAUGGGAAUAUUUGCUAAAGAUUCAUCGCUGAUAGAUAGGCAUGCGUUCCAUUAGGCAGUUGGCGGGGUAACGGCCCACCAAACCGACGAUGGAUAGGGGUUCUGAGAGGAAGGUCCCCCACAUUGGUACUGAGACACGGACCAA
rnacentral:rRNA from 1 species